CCCUUAGAUGUCCUGGGCUGCACGCGCGCUACACUGAUGUGUCCAGUAAGCACCUAACCUCUUCCGAAAGGAACGGGUAACCUUUGCAAAGCACAUCGUGAUGGGGAUAGAUUAUUGCAAUUAUUAGUCUUGAACGAGGAAUUCCUAGUAAGCACAAGUCAUCAGCUUGUGUUGAUUACGUCCUUGCCCUUUGUACACACCGCCCGUCGCUCCUACCGAUUGAAUGUUCCGGUGAGCUCUUCGGACUGCGCGGUCUGCAGUUUCUGCGUUCCGUGCGGAAAGUUGCGCAAACCUUAACAUUUAGAGGAAGGAGAAGUCGUAACA
rnacentral:rRNA from 1 species